AUAUCAAUAAGCGGAGGAAAAGAAGAUAACCAUGAUUCCCCUAGUAACGGCGAGUGAAGCGGCAACAGCUCAAAUUUGAAAUCUGGCUCCUCUGGGGUCCGAGUUGUAAUUUGUAGAAGAUGCUUCGGGAGUGGCGCCGGUCUAAGUUCCUUGGAACAGGACGUCAUAGAGGGUGAGAAUCCCGUAUGUGACUGGCCGCCUUCGCCCGUGUGAAGCUCUUUCGACGAGUCGAGUUGUUUGGGAAUGCAGCUCAAAAUGGGUGGUAAAUUUCAUCUAAAGCUAAAUAUUGGCCAGAGACCGAUAGCGCACAAGUA
rnacentral:rRNA from 1 species